rnacentral:sRNA from 2 species
AAACAAGAACCGCCGAGUGGCCGGACCGCCGGCCAGCGGGGGACCCAAACGGCACGGGGCGCGCAACGCGCCUCGGGCCAGGGGCGAACCGAGCGCGGCGACGCGCAUCGGCGAGCACUCCAAGCUCGAGCCCGUCAGCUAACCCCGUAGGCGCCUGGAGAAGCCAU